ACUCCCUCACCUGCUCUCUCCCUGUCACUCACCCAGAAGCUCUUUGCCCCUCUCACCCACGAAGCUCGCUUCACACCACGCCCACGAAGCUCUGUGUCACGUCAUGCCCAUCGCCAACCAGUUGUCUGACGUCCACGACCAGCCAGAUUUGGUACUAUUGGUGUUCAAUUUUUGAUUUUUUUCGUGGAUCUUACAUGUAGAUUUUGUUUGUUCUUUUAUUUAUUCAAUCUAUAGGAUUUGAUGAAGUAUGUCUAUGUGGGAUUUUUUUUUCAAUUAUUAUAUGCUAGUCUAACGAACUCUCAUGCUUCUGUUCUAUAUUUUUUCUUUGUUAUGAUGUUAAAGUGUUAUAUUCCAGGGUCUAGUAAGCACCAUUAUGUGUUUAAAUUUAUUUUGGGGGCCUGCAUGCAUGCAUGUUUAAUUCAUGGACAUACCUGGGGAUUAUUGUUUGGUAGCUGAGAAAUGAAAUAGAAAAAUAAGCUUUUCAAUGGUUUUAAAGUCACGUAUGGAAUGAUAUAUCUUAUAGGGUUUGGGUAAUUGGAACUUAGAUCCUUUGAUUUAUUUUUCAUAAGCUUAUUCAGAAAAAAUGCAGAAUCUUAUGCUAGUAGUCUAAUUAUUUUCUGGGUUAUUCUAAUUAAUUUCUAUUAGGUUUAGGAUGAUCAAUAUACAAGUCAUAUAAUAGAAAAAUAGAAUCCAUCCUUUUCUUUUUCUCUUUAUGCUGCUAAUUUGUAUUUGAUUUUUGUCAAAUGUAGAAACCUAAUGGCUCAUCAUACCUAUUACGUUGUAUUUGAGGCACGUCAGCGUGGCAUAUAUGAACAACCAAUUCCCUACUUCAAUUACGCUAGAAGUUGGGAAGACUAACGUGGAAACAUGUGAUAAGGGUGUACAAACUGAUGAAGUCAAGAAUGAUUAUUGGAAUUUCUGGAUUAUUUUUUCCAAUAUGUUGUGUACUCUAGG
rnacentral:lncRNA from 1 species